rnacentral:rRNA from 1 species
GAUGAACGCUGGCGGCGUGCUUAACACAUGCAAGUCGAACGAAGACAUCUGAGUGCUUGCACUUGGAUGGACUGAGUGGCGGACGGGUGAGUAACGCGUGGGUAACCUGCCUUAUACAGGGGGAUAACAGUUGGAAACGACUGCUAAUACCGCAUAAGCGCACGGUAUCGCAUGAUACAGUGUGAAAAACUCCGGUGGUAUAAGAUGGACCCGCGUCUGAUUAGCUUGUUGGUGAGGUAACGGCCCACCAAGGCGACGAUCAGUAGCCGGCCUGAGAGGGUGAACGGCCACAUUGGGACUGAGACACGGCCCAAAACGUCCUACGGGAGGCAGCAGUGGGGAAUAUUGCACAAUGGGGGAAACCCUGAUGCAGCGACGCCGCGUGAGUGAUGAAGUAUUUCGGUAUGUAAAACUCUAUCAGCAGGGAAGAUAAUGACGGUACCUGACUAAGAAGCACCGGCUAAAUACGUG